GUGUAGAAUAAUGGUUUUGGUGGUUGCGUUGUGGUAUAGAUGAUUAGAUGGG
rnacentral:guide_RNA from 1 species